UGCCAGACUCCUACGGGAGGCAGCAGUGGGGAAUAUUGCACAAUGGGGGGAACCCUGAUGCAGCGACGCCGCGUGGGUGAGGAAGUACUUCGGUAUGUAAAGCCCUAUCAGCAGGGAAGAAAAUGACGGUACCUGACUAAGAAGCCCCGGCUAACUACGUGCCAGCAGCCGCGGUAAUACGUAGGGGGCAAGCGUUAUCCGGAUUUACUGGGUGUAAAGGGAGCGUAGACGGCGUGCCAAGUCUGAUGUGAAAGGCCGGGGCUCAACCCCGGGACUGCAUUGGAAACUGUGCAGCUAGAGUGCAGGAGAGGUAAGUGGAAUUCCUAGUGUAGCGGUGAAAUGCGUAGAUAUUAGGAGGAGCACCAGUGGCGAAGGCGGCUUACUGGACUGUAACUGACGUUGAGGCUCGAAAGCGUGGGGAGCAAACAGGAUUAGAUACCCCUGUA
rnacentral:rRNA from 1 species